GACGAACGCUGGCGGCGUGUUUAAGACAUGCAAGUCGCACGGUGUCAUUUUGGUAGCAAUACUUGAAUGGCAUAGUGGCGCACGGGUGAGUAACACGUGAAUUACAUGCCCUGUAGAGGGGGAUAGCCCAGGGAAACUUGGAUUAAUACCCCAUGGUCUCGCAAGAGUAAAGGUGGCCGCAAGGCUGUCGCUACAGGAUUGGUUCGCGCCCUAUCAGCUUGUUGGCGGGGUAACGGCCCACCAAGGCUACGACGGGUACCUGGUCUGAGAGGACGAUCAGGCACACUGGAACUGAGACACGGUCCAGACACCUACGGGUGGCAGCAGUCGAGAAUAAUUCACAAUGGGGGCAACCCUGAUGGUGCAACGCCGCGUGGAGGAUGACGGUCUUCGGAUUGUAAACUCCUGUCAUCCGGGAGUAAGACCUGGGCAUGAAUAGUGCACAGGGUUGAUAGUACCGGAAGAGGAAGGGACGGCUAACUUCGUGCCAGCCGCCGCCGUAAUAC
rnacentral:rRNA from 1 species